rnacentral:misc_RNA from 1 species
GCCUUUCACUGCUCCUAGACGCGCCACUCCUGCUUCAUUCUAAUUUAUGUGCCAAAGUUCUGCCCCUUUUUACGACGCGGAAUAUAAAUCGCCAACAAUUUUCCUAAGUUACAUAUGGAUCUUCAGAAAUUCGCAGUUGCCUUCGAGGAA